rnacentral:tRNA from 1 species
AAUGAAAUGCCUGAAUUAAAGGAUCAUCUUGAUAGGAUGAAAUAUAUAAAUUAAUUAAAUUUAUUUUCAUUA